rnacentral:rRNA from 1 species
AAACCAGCACCUCAAGUGGUCAGGAUGAUUAUUGGGCCUAAAGCAUCCGUAGCCGGCUCUGUAAGUUUCCGGUUAAAUCUGUACGCUCAACGUACAGGCUGUCGGGAAUACUGCAGAGCUAGGGAGUGGGAGAGGUAGACGGUACUCGGGAGGAAGUGGUAAAAUGCUUUGAUCUCUCGAUGACCACCUGUGGCGAAGGCGGUCUACCAGAACACGUCCGACGGUGAGGGAUGAAAGCUGGGGGAGCAAACCGGAUUAGAAACCCGAGUAGUCC